rnacentral:rRNA from 1 species
CCUACGGGGGGCUGCAGUGGGGAAUAUUGGACAAUGGGGGGAACCCUGAUCCAGCCAUGCCGCGUGUGUGAAGAAGGCCCUCGGGUUGUAAAGCACUUUCAGUGAGGAAGAACGCCUGGUGGUUAAUACCCAUCAGGAAAGACAUCACUCACAGAAGAAGCACCGGCUAACUCCGUGCCAGCAGCCGCGGUAAUACGGAGGGUGCGAGCGUUAAUCGGAAUUACUGGGCGUAAAGCGCGCGUAGGUGGCUUGAUAAGCCGGUUGUGAAAGCCCCGGGCUCAACCUGGGAACGGCAUCCGGAACUGUCAAGCUAGAGUGCAGGAGAGGAAGGUAGAAUUCCCGGUGUAGCGGUGAAAUGCGUAGAGAUCGGGAGGAAUACCAGUGGCGAAGGCGGCCUUCUGGACUGACACUGACACUGAGGUGCGAAAGCGUGGGUAGCAAACAGGAUUAGAUACCCCGAGUAGUC